rnacentral:piRNA from 1 species
UGGCACCUGGAUCCCCGCAGUCACC